GCCUAUCAGUUUGUUGGUGAGGUAAUAGCUCACCAAGACUAUGACGGGUAGCUGGAUCGAGAGGUUGACCAGCCAGACUGGGACUGAGACACGGCCCCAGACUCCUACGGGAGGCAGCAGUGRGGAAUAUUSCACAAUGGGCGAAAGCCUGAUSSAGCGACGCCGCGUGAAGGAUGACGSCUUUCGGGUUGUAAACUUCUUUCAMYCAUGRCGAAGARYAAKUGACKGUASYGSRWGAAKAAGSACCGGCYAACUACGUGCCAGCAGCCGCGGUAAUACGUAGGGUGCGAGCGUUGUCCGGAAUUAUUGGGCGUAAAGGGCUCGUAGGCGGUUUGUCGCGUCGGGAGUGAAAACACACAGCUUAACUGUGUGCUUGCUUUUGAUACGGGCAGACUGGAGGUAUGCAGGGGAGAACGGAAUUCCUGGUGUAGCGGUGAAAUGCGCAGAUAUCAGGAGGAACACCGGUGGCGAAGGCGGUUCUCUGGGCAUUACCUGACGCUGAGGAGCGAAAGUGUGGGGAGCGAACAGGAUUAGAUACCCUGGUAGUCCACACCGUAAACGUUGGGCGCUAGGUGUGGGAUCCAUUCCACGGGUUCCGUGCCGCAGCUAACGCAUUAAGCGCCCCGCCUGGGGAGUACGGCCGCAAGGCUAAAACUCAAAGGAAUUGACGGGGGCCCGCACAAGCGGCGGAGCAUGCGGAUUAAUUCGAUGCAACGCGAAGAACCUUACCUGGGUUUGACAUAGGAAGAAAACCAUCAGAGAUGGUGGGUCCGGUAAGGGUUCCUACAGGUGGUGCAUGGCUGUCGUCAGCUCGUGUCGUGAGAUGUUGGGGUUAGUCCCGCAACGAGCGCAACCCUUGUCUUAUGUUGCCAGCACGCCCUUCGGGGUGGUGGGGACUCAUGAGAGACUGCCGGGGUCAACUCGGAGGAAGGUGGGGAUGACGUCAAGUCAUCAUGCCCCUUAUGUCCAGGGCUUCACGCAUGCUACAAUGGCCGGUACAGACCGCUGCGAUCCCGUGAGGGGGAGCGAAUCGGAAAAAGCCGGUCUCAGUUCGGAUUGGGGUCUGCAACUCGACCCCAUGAAGUCGGAGUCGCUAGUAAUCGCAGAUCAGCAACGCUGCGGUGAAUACGUUCCCGGGCCUGUACACACCGCCCGUCACGUCACGAAAGUCGGCAACACCCGAAGCCGGUGGCCUAACCCUUGUGGGGGGAGCCGUCGAAGGUGGGGCUGGCGAUUGGGACGAAGU
rnacentral:rRNA from 1 species